rnacentral:rRNA from 1 species
UACGUAGGGUGCGAGCGUUAAUCGGAAUUACUGGGCGUAAAGCGUGCGCAGGCGGUUUCUGAAGUCCGUUGUGAAAGCCCCGGGCUUAACCUGGGAAUGGCAGUGGAAACUAGGAGACUUGAAUCUGGCAGAGGGGGGUGGAAUGCCACGUGUAGCAGUGAAAUGCGUAGAGAUGUGGCGGAACACCGAUGGCGAAGGCAGCCCCCUGGGUUAACACUGACGCUCAGGCACGAAAGCGUGGGGAGCAAACAGG